rnacentral:lncRNA from 10 species
CAUCAAUCUCAUUUGUCUCAAGUAUUCAAGUACUACUUUGGAUAUUUACUUGUUUGUUUUGGUACUUCCUUCAGGACAAAUUAUUUUCUUCCAAGAAUGUCUCUUCAGGGAUUCUAACUGGGGCUAUUAACAAUCACUAAUGUCUAUAUACAGAAUAAUUCAUCUGCAAUAAAAACUUUUUAAAUCAAUUUCUGGGUCAGAGUUGGGAAGUCAAUGAGUUGGAUUUUAUACUUACUUCCCUCACCAAAAAUGAUACAACAGUAAGGGGUUCCUAACUAAAACUCUAUUAGUACUUUAGAAUUUAUACUAAAUCUACUCUUGAAUAUUUCCCUAGGUCAAACAUCUCUCAAUACAAGAAUGCUAUUUUGUUAUACUAUUAAUAAUGUUGAAGUGCAUAAGAUUUUAUAAUAUACUAAUAUUUUACAUGUAUGUUUUCAAACUCCUGACCUCAGGUGAUCUGCCUGCCUCAGCCUCCCGAAGUGCUGAGAUUACAGGCGUGAGCCACCGUGCCUGGCCAUAUUUUACAUGUGUUUUCUAUCGGGCAAUUGGUGGGAUCAUUUCUUUUAUCAUUCAUAGUAGCGUUUAGGCCAUUUUUUUCCUUUUUUCUUAUCACCACCAUUUGGGACAGGGAGUAUGGUUGCUGUGCUGUUUUUGCUGUUGUUGAUUUUCUCUCUCUCUCUCUCUCUCCCUCUGUCUCUGUCUCUAUGUGUGUGUGUGUGUGUGUGUGUGUGUAUGUAUAUAUAUAUAUUUUUUUACUAUUGUGCAGAUACAGUUGAGGUGCAUAAAGAGAAGGAGUAUGAUGUGCAAGGCACACACCUGUACUCAGCUGAGUGCCACAAUACACAGAAGCCCGAAAUAGCUGUCGGAAGCCGGUGGCGGCUGCACUGCUGCUCCUAAUAUACACUUCCUUGCACCUGUGUCCUGAGCCCUUUGCCGAGUGACUUGGCUGUGCCCCUGGUGAGAAGAGGUGAACAUUCCCCUUCAUCCCAUUCACCGACCUGCACGUGGCCGUGUGGCCUACUCUGGACUACAGCAGACACUGGGAGAGCCUACAGAUGGGCUUGCAGUUUGCUGGCAUCCUGCACUUUUGUCCUCUGCCAUAAGCAGAACCGAUCCAGGUGGGCACUUGUCCCACAGUGAGGAGACACCUGCAGGGCUCUAACCCAUGUCCAGAGCAGAGCCCGGCCCACCCUUGUGCAAAGCCACCAACAUUAUCACGGCAAGAGUGCAUGCAGCCUCUAACUCCCCCUCCAAAAUCUCUUCCACCCUUUCUGUUUCCUUAUCAUAUCACAGCCCACACCAAAAAUUAUCACUAGCUGGCAUAUAAGAACUAAAACAUAGGUCAUAUUUUCUACGUUUAGUCAAAAAACUUGCCUACGACGUGUAUUGUUUCAAAGGCUGACAGUUUCUCUCCAGUCAUGGUUUUUUGGCAAUAUGAGCAAUGGAUGUCUGGGAUGAAAACUCUGCCAUAUAGAAUGUAGCCUACAGAGCACGUAUUCAGAUUUAUGCCCUCUAAAUGGAUUACUACAUUCUGAAUGGCAUUAACUUUCCAAUGAGUAAGAGCCACUCAUUCACCUCUCUCCUCUAUUCCCAGUCCUUGAAAUAGUUGAUUUCAAAUGUUUUCACCUAAGGUAAAUGAUAAUAUAUGCAAAGAUUUUGUACAAACUCCAGGGGAAUUCCUGAGAUAUCUCACAAAGUUUGAAUCUAUGGAGACAAAGGAAAAUUGUGCAACGAGUGGUGUUUUCUUUCACAUAGUGCAGCAGACAGGAUCACAUGCCUCCAACGUGGGAAGGGGAACACGUCGACCCUAGGCAAGCAGAGGGCCUUAGCAUGCUGACUCUGCAGGCUCAUCCUGGGGCCUGCCUGAGCAGCCGUGUGGGCACCGGGACUGCAGUCCUUUCCCCUGCCUGCCCCAGCCCCACCAUCUCUUGCCUGGAGGUCAUUUGGCCACCCUCUUAGUGUCAAAGGCAGAAGCUAUGAGAAAGAAGGAUAGGAGAGGGAUGCGGACCAGUUUUCAAAUCCGGCAGGAGGAGCAAGGUCCUGGGGAGCAUGUGGUGGAAGGACUUUAAGGAAACUACAUCAUCAUUACGAAGACUGGGGAGCAACAGCGUCAUGGGCACCGCUCUGCUCUGCAUGAAGGAGUCCGACAGCUGCCAGCGGGGAGCUUUGGUGGUGCCAAAUCCCCUGGAGAGAGGAGGCUGCAGCCCCAGGCAGCAGGGAGCCCUGGAGGAAGCUGCCUCUGCAGACUCGCGGGAAUGCCAGCUCCGGGUUUCAUUCCUUUGUUCACUGCUGCUUCCCAAGUGCCAGACGGAGCCUGGAACUCAGUGGCUGCUCUAAAGAUACUGUUGAAUGAGUAAAUGAACGGAAUUGCACAGGAGCGAGGCCACAGUUCUACAGCUGAGCUGCCUGUCACGGCCCUCACCCAACCACCACUGCUGGAAAUGUGCAGACAGGGUGUGCCUCUCCCGUUUAAGGGAAAUGUAUUGAGAUAUCAUUCACAUACAUGGCACGUGCUCAGGGAGCCCCCCAGGAUGACAGAGCUCACCCAUCACCCCACAGAACGUCUCUGCCCCAUCCAGGCAGGCCCCAGAGUACACUGGGUCUGGCUUCUUUAGUCAGAGGUGGUUUGAGUGAGUCUAGAGACUUCAUAGAAUCUGGGUCACAGAGCAGGCACCCUUUUCCAUCUGGUGUCUUCCACUCAGCGUAGCGGUCCCGAGAUCCAGCGUGUCUCUGCUAGGAUCAGCGGUUUGCUCCUUGGUGUUGCUGAGGAAAAUUCUACUGCAUGGAACACCACCAUCUAUCCACACUGGAUAGACACCAGAUGAGUGCUUCCGCCUGCUGUGAAUGAAGCUCCUAUGAACAGUCUCAUAUUAGGUAUGAAAGGAAAAUAAAUCAAUCACUAAACAAAGGGGAAAGUCAAGCUGGGAGCUGCCUCCCAUCCUAUUCCUAAAUAAGAUAGCUACAAAGAUAAAAACGCUGUUCCUCCCUCACAAUUUGCUCACAAGGAACUUCCUUGUGGAACAAGGACAGACAGAACUCAAUCAUCCCUCCGCUCACAUGAGACAAACACAGAUCGGAAUGCUUCCUCCGCCCUGUUGUUUCACCCAGCCAGACUAAGGCAUACGUAACUAUUCCAGUAAAUUGUGCAUUCGGUGAAAGGCUAAUCAGAAACUUAAAAGAAUGCAGCCAUUUGUCUCUUAUCUACCUACAACCUGGAAGCCCCCUGCGCGCUUUGACUUGUCCUGUCUUUCCAGAUAGAACCAAUGUACAUCAUACAUAUAAUGAUUGAUGUCUCAUGUCUCCCUAAAAUGUAUAAAACCAAGCUGUUCCCCGACCACCAUCACCAGGACCUCCUGAGGCUGUGUCACGGCACGUCCUCAACCUUGGCAAAAUAACUUUCUAAAUUUAUUGAGACUUGUCUCAGAUACUUUUUGGUUUACAAAGGUGUUUGUGGACAUGUAUAUUCAUUUCUCAUAGAUAAGUACCUAGAAGUUGAAUUGCUUAGACAUGAGUAAAUGUAUGUUUAACUUUUUCAGAAACUCCCGAACAUAUUUCCAAACUAUACCGUUUUACACUCUGUCAGCAGAAUUUAAAAGUUUCCACUGAACCACAUCCUUGUCAACGUUUGGUAUUGUCAAUAUGUUUAAGUUAUUGAUAUUGUUCUAGUGAAUGUGUAGAGACAUCUCGUUUUGGUUUUAAUUUGCAUUUUCCUAAUGAGGAAUAAUACUGAGAAAUUUUUUCUUUCAUAUUGUCAUAUAUGUGUCUUCUUUCUUAAAGUGCCUAGUCAAAUAUUUUGCUCAUUUUUUAUUGCUUUUUAUUAUAAACUGUGUUUUUUUAAAUAUUAUCUUAACACACGUCUUUUGGCUGAUAUAAUAUUGUAAAUAUUUUCUCCCAUUCUGUGGUCUACUUAUUGUUUCCUAAUGCUGUCUUUUGAAGAGCAAAAUAUUUUUCUCCAUUUAUGGAGACAAGAUGGUCAACUUAGCUAUUCCAAAAUGUUUUUAAAAUUCUAGUUUGUUUUAAAACAACCACAGCAAACUGCAUGGAUUUGUUCCACAUCUUUGAAAGAAAAACAUUAUUUUAUUUAUUUCACAGUGGAAGAUAAGUCAGUAAGGCCCCACUUCGGCAGGUUUUGUUUUCGUUUCCUCAUGCCUCUGCAAUGCUCGGAGUCACCCACGCCUUACUCACUGCGGCUGGAACGAACCCAGACUCCUCACUCCUCCCACAGCCUCUGGCGCAGGGCGCUCCUUGCUUGAAAGAAACGUUUGCGAUUUUUAGUGGAAACGUCCGUGUUUUCUUGGUAACUGGUAAAUGGCUGUAGAUUACUGACACGCGGUCCUUUGUACGUAACAGAAGGCUUUGAGUGUUUCUGUGAGGAUCACCCUGUGAAGAAACGGCUGCAGUGAGAGCAGCCGAGGCGGGACGCAGCCCCGGACGUGGGGUCAGAGAGGAGCCGUGCGUGGGGUCAGAGAGGAGCCGUGCGUGGGGUCAGAGAGGAGCCGUGCGUGGGGUCAGAGAGGAGCCGUGCGUGGGGUCAGAGAGGAGCUGAGUUCAGGACGGGCAUGGCAGCCGCAGGAGGAGGGCAAGGCGGAGCCCAGGAGGGGCAAAGUGGACAAAGCCAGGGCUGGAGAGGGGAGACCCAGGAUCAGCACCACGUUCCACGGGGAUGGCACAGAAGCCUGAGAGGCCACGGCCAAAUGUGGAAAUUGGCUUUGCCAAAUCUUGCAUUUCAGAGAGAAAAGGCAAUAUGGCAUUAAUGCUUGCCUUGUUUAAUUUUCGUAAUUUUCCCUUUCUUCCUGCCAAUAGCUUGCUUUGUUAUCCGGAGGGUAGCCACGGUUUUAGCUCACAGUGAUGUCAACUUGAAGCUUCUCUCCACAAGCAGCUGUGACCUCAGCUGCCGUGCAGUCAGCUUCCCCGGCCUCCCUCCCCAGCCUCCCUGGUCUCCCAGGCACAAGGCUGGGCACUGGCUUCAGAGUGGCUGCAAGGGCACGGCCCCCAGGCCUAGGGCUGAUCAGCGUGAACAGUACCCAGCACACUUGCUUCAAAAAGUAAGAAGAUAUAGAACACAAGCUGCUUGUUCUCAUGACUAUAGCACAAACUAUAAAACAAAACAUCUUCCUCCAGAACACGGCAAGCUGGAUGGACAGUGAUCUGGACAAAAAUUUGCUGUAGGUUUUGUAACUGGGGUUCAGUGAGGACCAGGCUCCCCAGAGCAUACAUGUGGAGACAAUUAAGUUGAUCCCAUUUUCCAAGACUCAGAGGAGAUGUAUUUAUAUUAGGAAUAUAAACUUGCUAUUAAUGCAACUUCAGAAUGUCCAGGUCAUCCGUUGGGAAAAAAAAAAGAGUAAGUCUAGGGCUGGUUCGUGCUGUUGCUACAUGGAGGGAAUCCACAUCCAAGCCUGCCGCUCACAUGCUGGGACACAUUGCCUCAGCCUCCAUCUCUGGGAGUCCCACGCUUUCUCUCCUGGGUUGUCCCACUAUUCCUUUUGAAGUCCUCAUGUUAGUGACAGUUCAAUUUUCUCUUCACCUUCAAAAUUGCAGAGAACCUAAUUUCUACUGACCAGUCAAGCUUGUUUCAUUUAUCUUCCAUGUUAACUUCAAUUAAAAUGUUAACCAUCUGGAAUCUUUGGCCUCUUAUGUGACAAAAAUAGGCAUUAAAUUGUAUCAUUUCUUAAAUUCUCUGUUGAAAAGUCCAAAUACGUUACUGAAUAUGAUACAGAUUAGUAAGAAUUUGGGCUCAUUAAAUGUAAGAUAAUUUCAUAGCUUAAGGUAAUUUCACACCCCAAGGGACUUAUAACCUAAACACAAAGCAGAUCACCAACAUUAACUGUCAGCUGUCCACUGGAGAACUAUCUCAGACAAAAAAAUAAAAUUUGGAUUAGCUCUCCAUGGUGCACAAUACUUUCAUGAACCAUCUCUUUUGGGUUGGCAGCUGCAGUGUGUUCUGAGAGUAUGUUAAUGCUACAAUAACAGUAAAAAUAAAAUUAAGUUGGGAACAUACAGAAAAAAAGAAAUUGAUUACAUUAUUCCUAAUGACGACCUGAAUCAAAGUUGGCACUAAAUAAAUUUUUGUCAGAAAGGAGAAAAGAAAUGAGAGAAAUAAAAGAGAGGAGGCAGGAUUUUAUAUUCUGCUCCCUUUUUGGAAAA